rnacentral:misc_RNA from 1 species
GCCAAAAUGACAAUUUAGUUGCUUCCCUUCUCUCCCCCUUAUACUCCUUCCAUGCUCAGUCUCCCUCUCCUUCUCUCUCACCCUAUCUUUCAUUCCAAAAUUUCUUCACUUUCAAAAUUUCUUCACUGGAAGAAUUCCUAUGGAUAUGAGAUCAUUAAAAAUCUAUGUGAAAUCGCAGUUAGAUUUGCAAAUGAUAGUAAUCAUGAAAUAAACUGAUCUUACAUGCGCAUGGAUUUGAGGUAAGCUUUCAGGGUGCAUUUUGUCCUUUACUCUUGAACACAUGCAACAAAGAGGGCGUGGUGGGGAAG